rnacentral:rRNA from 1 species
AUUGAACGCUGGCGGCAUGCCUUACACAUGCAAGUCGAACGGUAACGGGCCUUCGGGUGCCGACGAGUGGCGAACGGGUGAGUAAUGCAUCGGAACGUACCUUUCAGUGGGGGAUAACGUAGCGAAAGUUACGCUAAUACCGCAUAUUCUGUGAGCAGGAAAGCAGGGGAUCGCAAGACCUUGCGCUGAUUGAGCGGCCGAUGUCAGAUUAGCUAGUUGGUGAGGUAAAGGCUCACCAAGGCGACGAUCUGUAGCGGGUCUGAGAGGAUGAUCCGCCACACUGGAACUGAGACACGGUCCAGACUCCUACGGGAGGCAGCAGUGGGGAAUUUUGGACAAUGGGGGCAACCCUGAUCCAGCCAUGCCGCGUGAGUGAAGAAGGCCUCGGUUGGUAAGUACGUCUUUCGUCCGGGUACGGAAAGUACGAC